UACGAAGGGUGCAAGCGUUGUUCGGAAUUACUGGGCGUAAAGGGUACGUAGGCGGACAUAUUAGUCAGGAGUGAAAUCCCGGGGCUCAACCUCGGAACUGCUUUUGAAACGGUAUGUCUAGAGUGUGAUAGGGGACAAUGGAAUACCCAGUGUAGAGGUGAAAUUCGUAGAUAUUGGGUGGAACACCGGAGGCGAAGGCGAUUGUCUGGGUCACAACUGACGCUAAGGUACGAAAGCGUGGGGAUCAAACAGG
rnacentral:rRNA from 1 species